rnacentral:rRNA from 1 species
GGUGAACGCUGGCGGCGGGCCUAAUACAUGCAAGUCGAGCGAACAGACGAGGAGCUUGCUCCUUUGCCGUUAGCGGCGGACGGGCGGGUAAGAAGUAGAUCACAUUCUUCUAAGACUGGGAUAAUUACGGGAAAAAGGUGACAAUAAUGGAUCAUAUAUUGUACCGCAUGGAUCAAUAGUGAUAGACAGCUUUGGCGUCACUUAUAGACGGAUCCGCGUUGGAUUAGCGAGUUGGUAAGGUAACAGCAUACCAACGCAACGAUGCGUAGCCGAGCUGAGAGGGUGAUCCGCCACACUGGAACUGAGGCACGGUCCAGACUCCUACGGGAGGCAGCAGUAGGGAAUCUUCCGCAAUUGGCGAAAGCUUGACGGAGCAACGCCGCGUGAGUGAUGAAGGUCUUCGGAUCUUAAAACUCUUUUAUUAGGGAAGAACAAGUGUGUAAUUAACUAUGCACGGCUUUACGGGACCUAAUCAGAUAGCCACGGCUAACUACGUG